UAUUCAGGCAAAUCUAUAGUUUUAAAUAAAAAAUAACUCAUAUCUGGUUUAAAUUCUAACGGAUGCUCGAGCUUAGACACCGGUGUCCAUGGUGGUUAAAUAGAUGACUAACUAUACAAUUUUAUAUAAUAUGUAUAAUGUAUAUAUCUAGGUAUUUUCAUUUACGUAUCGAUAUGGUUCAAUGGUCUAAACAAAUAAUAAAACAAGAGGAUAAUGUCAUUGUAUAAAUAAUUAUCUAUAUUUUAUGAACCGUGGUUAAGACUGGCGUUAAAAAAAAAUACAUGCACACGGGAACGAACAUUUAUAUAACGUGAACCUGGGUCUGGUCGCAAAUGCCGUCCACAUGCCGCACGAACAAUUUACUCAGAAUUACUCGGAUGUAAGCAAAUCCGAAACCCAAUGAGCUGUGAUGGUGACGAAGACGAUAGUAAAAAAAAAAAUAAUAAUAACUACAGACUAUACAGUCUACAGUCUUCUUCGGGACAGUCCACGGCUACAGCAUCCUGCUCGCCGCAGUUAAACUCGACGAUCCGUGACGUCUUGACUUCUCUCGGGUAUACACUCUGAUUGACAUGUCAGUCAAUAACCCGCUGUACUAUAUAAUGUAUAUAGGUACACAAUACACACUUUGCGGUCUACGCCGGAGGAUCGUAUGGAAAUGCAUUCAACGACAAGACCAGACCGCGACUAUAGGCAUACGAAAUAUUUGGGCGUUAAAGGUUCUAUUAUGUACCUACCCUACGUGUAUAUAUAUUAACGUUCAAGACGGAUGUAUACGACGAAUCAUUAUAUAAUGAUCACAUUUAUACAGACAGCUGAACCGAAUAAUUUGUCAAGUCAUCGUUCUUAUGGAGAACAAUAAUUGAACUAUAUACAUAAUUUGUAAAUACUACAGUAUUACACUGUAUAGCAAACACGUACCAUUACAACAAUAAUAUGAUAUAUUAAUA